AUGAAUGGGGAUCCCUAUCAAUAUCAAAAUGAAGAUUCUUAUAUAAGAAAUCCUUUCUUUCCAUAGAUGUAUCUGGUCUGAGACGGUACGACCAUGAAAAAAAAGGCCCAACGCUUCUAGAGUUCGCUGCUUUUCCCAGGCCGGAGAAGGGCAACUACUGAUUGAUCGCCUUUGUUUGAUAUGUGUUCAAUUCAGUACAAUACAAACUACAACUACACCAAAGCGGAAGGGUCUAAGUCCAACAUUAAGAUCCAACCAAGGAACCGGGUUGGGUCGAGGCCACUCAUGACUCGGUCCAACCUGAACCAUUUGCACUCCUACUCCUAUCAAAUAUCUAAAUUGAUAUCAUAAUAUUAGUUUAGAUAAUUAUAAUACUUAUAUAUUUUAGUUACAUAGUACUCUCAAGUAUAAAUUAUAUCAAUGCUAUAAGUAUCAUCGAUGCUUAAUAUUAGUAAUAGUAAGAUACUCCAUUAUCUAUCACCUAUACUCAUUUAUCAUUAACGGGACAGAUAACAUAAUACUCACUUACAACA
rnacentral:lncRNA from 1 species